GAGUUUGAUCCUGGCUCAGGACGAACGCUGGCGGCGUGCCUAACACAUGCAAGUCGAACGGAGAAUUUCAAGAAGUUUACUUCGAGAAAUUUUUAGUGGCGGACGGGUGAGUAACGCGUGGGUAACCUACCCAUAAACCCGGGACAACCCUUGGAAACGAGGGCUAAUACCGGAUAAUCUUUGAGCUUGGCAUCAAGCACUAAGAAAAGGUGGCCUCUGAACAUGCUACCGAUUAUGGAUGGACCCGCGUCUGAUUAGCUAGUUGGUGGGGUAAAAGCCUACCAAGGCGACGAUCAGUAGCCGGCCUGAGAGGGUGAACGGCCACACUGGGACUGAGACACGGCCCAGACUCCUACGGGAGGCAGCAGUGGGGAAUCUUCCGCAAUGGACGAAAGUCUGACGGAGCAACGCCGCGUGUAUGAUGAAGGUCUUCGGAUUGUAAAGUACUGUCUUUGGGGAAGAAUGACUGAUUUGAAAAUAUUGAGUCAGUAUGACGGUACCCAAGGAGGAAGCCCCGGCUAACUACGUGCCAGCAGCCGCGGUAAUACGUAGGGGGCAAGCGUUGUCCGGAAUUAUUGGGCGUAAAGGGCGCGUAGGCGGAUAGUUAAGUCCGGUGUGAAAGAUCAGGGCUCAACCCUGAGAG
rnacentral:rRNA from 1 species